rnacentral:rRNA from 1 species
CGAGUGAGGGCCCUCUGGGUCCAACCUCCCACCCGUGUUUAUUUACCUUGUUGCUUCGGCGAGCCUGCCUUUUGGCUGCCGGGGGACGUCAGUCCCCGGGUCCGUGCUCGCCGGAGACACCUUAGAACUCUGUCUGAAGAUUGUAGUCUGAGAUUAAAUAUAAAUUAUUUAAAACUUUCAACAACGGAUCUCUUGGUUCCGGCAUCGAUGAAGAACGCAGCGAAAUGCGAUACGUAAUGUGAAUUGCAGAAUUCAGUGAAUCAUCGAGUCUUUGAACGCACAUUGCGCCCUCUGGUAUUCCGGAGGGCAUGCCUGUCCGAGCGUCAUUGCUGCCCUCAAGCACGGCUUGUGUGUUGGGCCCCGUCCUCCUUCCGGGGGACGGGUCCGAAAGGCAGCGGCGGCACCGCGUCCGGUCCUCAAGCGUAUGGGGCUUUGUCACUCGCUUUGUAGGCCUGGCCGGCGCUUGCCGAUCAACCAAACUUUUUAUCAGGUUGACCUCGGAUCAGGUAGGGAUACCCGCUGAACUUAAGCAUAUCAAUAAGC